rnacentral:lncRNA from 1 species
UGGACAUAGGAGGUAUGUAAUGGACUAGCUAACGGCAACCCACUAAAGACCCGACAGUUAGUCCAUCAUUUUCUUCCUUAGUCUAUGAGAACCAACCAUGUCAACCAAUAAGAUCGCUCCGUACUCCCUAUGUCUUCUUUGUCUAUCGCUUUGUCCAUCAGUUUCAAUAAUCGCCCCGCUGUCAUUUAUUAAUAACCGGAUUCAGUGGUUUUCCAAAGUGAAUCAGAGACAGAAAGAGGUCCUCAUCGAUGCCUUUUCAAGAAAGGGAGCGUAUCCUUUUAGAGCUCCAUCGUUAAACCGUGAACGAAUCUUUUUGCUGCCGUUUUUUCCUAGAGUACGUAAUCUUACAAUUCUCUCUUAUUGUGUCAUUAUAUAGUGAUGAACUCUUAUAAGGAGCCAGUGUGUGGGUGGAAUCGCAGCUUUCGUGAGUCGGUGCACUGUUUUUCCGACUUGGUUUAAGUGCACUCCGAAUCCCUAAAAUGUCGUCUCAUCAUCGAAUCAACAUCAUUCCGGUGGAUAAAUGUGCAUGCGCUCUCGCGGCGCUACCAUGGCACAUCCACUCAUUGAGGAGAGAAAAAGUUGAUGUGACCCCAAUUUAUAACCACGUCACCGACCGUAACCCCGUGACUUGGACGAGGGCAAGGUCCCUGAUGUUGCGCAAUAUCCGCAUCAAAUGGAUGCUGUCUAACUUGAUGCAGAAGAUAGUGCAAAUAAUUAGAAAUAAUCAGAUUUUUCAAAAAUUGAAGUUUCUCCUCGCCAAAAUUGUGUCAUUACUACCGGUCAAGGCUGAUGUUAGACAGCUGAGUCCGCUUUUAAGGUUACGAGAAUUGUACAUGAAAAUUGAAAUGUCCUCUGAGCAAUUGACCAGUUUCACUCAGAGGGGUUUGAGAUUUGAAGACGACAACAUGCAGUGUUUAUGGUCUCAUAUGUCAAUGACAGAUCGCAGUAUUUACCCUCUGAAUGUAUUCGAUUUGGAUUGGGACGAAUAUUUCAGAUAUGUAACCACAGGAUUUUCCUGCCAUGUUUUAAAAAAUUUGCAUGAUAUCACAGGUUUCGCAAAGGAUUACGAGGAGAAAAAAAUUAUUUGA